rnacentral:sRNA from 1 species
UGUUUUCAGCUAAUCCUGCAUGCAGGCAG